CUUGUAUAUGGUGCUUGUAGUCUGAAAAAACUCAGAAAUUGCCAGUGUUCUCAUCAGCUUCGUCUCUUUCUAAUUAUGAGACUCGAGUUAAACAAGAACACUACAUUU